UUCUAGAGCAAAUCCUAACUAUUGGUAGUGAUCUUCUGUUCUGUGACAACUUUCUAAUAACCUUGGUUAUAUCAUGUAGCUGAUAAAGAGCAAAUGGUUUGUGCUGAUGAGCAGAUUACAUUAGUUUAUUCAAAACAUCUAGCCUUUUUUUCAUCGGAAUAAUCACUGAGUUGAUCUCACUCGUUCAGGACAGCAUGUACUCAUCUCCCAUUGGAAAAGUCAAACUGUGCUUUCAAAGAGCAAAGAGAAAUCUCAUUCUCACACACAUACCUUUGUGUGCAGGAAGGAGGAAGGGCUGAAACACUUCAUGGCAAGGGAAGUGCUGCAACACGGACAUGAAAGAAACCUGGUGUUCUCCUGGCCCAGACUCCUCAUCUGAAUGCAACCAGUGGGCUCUGCACUUGUAAAAUAUUACUAUCUUCCUUAGCAGGCAGUAUGAGUGCAGUUUUGCUACUUACCCAUAUGGGACAAAGGUUGCAAAAAUUCAACUUGUCAUCACGGCAGAAGAAAUGUCUGUUGAACAAAAAGACUCACAAGACAGUGAAGGUUUCUAUCAUCAGAUCUGUGCUUGAUGUUACAAGGGACCCACCAGAUUUGAAUGACUCUACCAUUGAAUUCCUGCAGAACCUCAACGACACAACACGCACCUCUGAGGGUACAACCCCUGAGCACUGUAAGUGCUGUGGCAGUUGUGCAAAUACCAUGUAGUCACGUAGCCACGUAUCGAAGCUAUUGUUUUGGAGGACACGAACACAGCAGUAGCUUGAGAAAGCAGGAAUAUGUCCUUUGGCAGCAUUGAUCUUAAAUGCAGGCAGCUUAGCUGUAUUAGGAAAGGGAAAAAUACCUGCCUAUAAAUAAAGAUGAUUUUUGUGAUACAGAGAUAGUUCUUGAUGCAGAAGACUGAGGCCUCACUCAGUCAUGGCAGAAGCAGACUGGGCUGCUGCUAAGCCACUUGGUAUCAUCAGCUUUUUCAUUAGCAUUAAAAAGGGAAAAGGCUUAUCACUAUCCCAGACUGCUGCGCAGACUGGUUUGCUGGAACAUCUUAAUAGAUAUUUCCUAAUAUCCUCUUUCUUCUAAUGUUCUUUAAUUUGAUAAAAGCAUAUUUCUUUUCCUACUGGUCAGUUGUAGGCCAAAAAUGUGUUUCACCAAAUGCACUUUGCACUUUCUCUGGAAUAUGAUUUCCAGUCCUCAGCAAAGUGAAUGAUGGUGGCUUCUAAACAUAAAAUCGUAGAAUGGCUUGGAAAUAUUGUUUACAAAAGUGAGAUAAAAUAAAAAGAAGAAAAAUUUCUUUUAAAGUAAGCUACUAAAAAUUUUCUGUGCCAAUAUCUUUGCAUGUAAUGUGUCCUUCAACAUCACAGACCAGUCUGUUUCAGCUACCAUAUGGAUAUAUUUCUUUACCACCAGCCCAUUGGUCAAUAGUGCUGCUGAGACAAGAUCCUACAAAUCGUAAGUGGUGGGAAUGAGGGCUGGGACUGUGCUGAGAUACUGUCAAACUGUGGAGAGAGAGAGAACAUGGCUGACUUUCUGACAAGUCAUUGGUUAGGCUGUGACUAAAUCACUUUCUGCUACUGUUGGGUGGCUGAAUUCAGCCCACAAACCCAAUCAGAACACAAGCCCAUGAAUUGGGGCAGU
ensembl:lncRNA